AGAGAGUUAAGAAUGUGUGUUGUUCUCAUCUUUUAGUUUGGUGCAUGCUGCUAACAAGAGCUAGCACCAUCCAAAAGUUUCAAAUUCAAACAAACCUGAGCCAUCCAGAGAGGAAAUGCUUUUAUUUUUCAAACCUCAAGCUCAAUUUUAUUGUGAAGGGGUGAUUAGACUUUUUUUUUUCCUUUCCCCCUUUGCACUAAGGGGAACGCCUUGUCUGAGUAAAAAUGUUGAGAUUUUUCUUUGAUGAAAGAGUGUUCUCGGUUUGAUGAGAUUGUUCCUAUAUCGUCACUAUACAAUUAAUUAUAUAUUUCCUGCUUUCUUUGAUACCCCUUUACCUGGAUUUCAUGAAGGCAUUGAGUCUAAAUUUUGUUAUUCAAUUUUAUAACAUGUAGCUCAGUAAUUUACCGUAAAUCAAUUACCAACCUGUUGUAUUGUGCAUGUAUUCCACAAGCAAAUGCAAAAGUAAACCUUCUUAGUAUUCAACUAAUUAGCGAGUCAUUUACAAGAAGCAAAAAUAAAAAUAAUGGAGAAAAAAAAGAGUUCAUUCAAGUAUUUAUUGCAUUGUCUGGCGCUUGAUUAUUUGUAACAUCUAAAUAGUGCUUCUAUACUAGAUAACAUUAUAAGUAUAUGAAUAUACUUCCAAAUAUAUAUAACAAUUUCAAAGAUAUAAGUGUAAAAAUAUUAGAUUUAAGAUGUUUUAAGUUUAUAAAAACAAACAACUUGCAAUUUAUACUUAGAUAUUAAAAAAUAACUCUCAAUAUUUUUAUUUUAUUUUAUUUUUUGAAGAUAAAACUUACUGUUGUCAUGUCUUAAUGUAAAAUGUAAGUUGUUGUUUAAAUAUGACAAUGUCAGAGGGAUAAUCUGAUCUUUUCAUAUAAUACAAGUGAUAAUUUAAUGGUAUAAUAAGUAAUAAUAAGAGAAUUUAAGGGUAUACAAGUGAUAAUUUUCAUUUACUUUAAUUUAAGUUUCAAGGAUAAAAUUUAACUUUAAUUUAAUUUUCCUAUCAAAAAAAAGAAAUUUAAGUUUCAAAGGUAAAAUCAUCACUAUAAUUACAUUAACUUUCAAACGACAACUAAUGAUUUAGUGGUUAGCAAAUAGCUUUUGUUAAUUUACGGUGAACAAUUGAUACACCCUUAAAAUUUUGUAGUAUUUUUAAUAACAUAACAAAUUUACUGUACAGUGUACACGAAGGAUAAUUUUUCUUAAUUAAUUAUUAAUCAAAGACGAUUCUAUGUUACAUCACAUCAACGCUACAUUUUAUCAAAGCUUUUUUUUUUUUUAUACAAAGCCAAUACUAAAUUAAAAUCCCUAUAACACUCCUUUCAAAUGUUCAUUUUCAAAAUCUUCUCGGUUUUUGUUUGGGUUUGAUUUUUUCAAUAACGUUUGAAAAUAUGGUCAACCCCAAUCUACUCAAAACUCAUUAGUAUUGAGCUGACCUCGUAAGUACGACCUGGAGCCUAUGUUGGCAAUCUGGUUUACAGAUACAACCUGAGAUUUAUGUGAACAACCAGAUUUAAAAAUACAUCCUUGAACUUACAUGAACGAUAGGAAAAUUCACCAGUCCCACCUGAAAAUGAAGAAAUCCGACCUCAAAAUUUAUUUGUCCGACUCGGGAAUUAGCUUGACAUGGAAAAUUAUUGGUUUAAAUAACGUGGCCUAAUUUUUAGGGAAGUUGUACGCCACGAUUUGUUAAACCGUCUCCAAUUAUUAACAACUCGCAACUGCUGAAGAAGGUGGGCUAAAGUUAAGGUGGUAACCACUCACGACCAAGGGCUAUUUAAGCUGAAGAGGGCAACAGAGAAAGGGGUUAGCAAAAAUUAACCAAAAACUCUACAAGUGACCUAUCUAAGAGCCUUAACAUUCUCUACUAGAUUUUUAGUUCCUCUAUCAGAAAAUUCCUUUAUCUCGAAUUCAUUCACAAUUCUUCCCUUUCAUUUUUAUCUCUUCAGAUAAAAAUUCUGUCAACGCUUUACCUCAGACAAUCUUUUCUGCAAAAUUGUUAACUUCUUUGAAGCUAUUUGGUUGUAAGUUGGAGCAGCCCUCACAUUGUGCAAAUCUCCAAUCUCUCAAGAAGCUUUCUCUAGAUGAGGUGUAUGUAAAUGAUCAGAUGGUCCAAAGCCUUGUCCGUGAAUGCCGUGUGCUUGAAGAUUUGUCCUUUUUUUACUGUUUUGGUUUGAAGCGUUUGCGCAUCUCUGAAGCUCACAAACUCAAGUCUUUGAUACUUCGUUUUACAUACCAAGAACUUGAAAGUGUUGAAAUUGCUGUUCCCAGUCUUCAACAGUUAGAACUUUCAUUUUCUCGAGUACCCCGUCUGCUGGACGUGGCUGAAUGUCCACAUUUGAGGAAGUUAGUCUUAUUUUUACCCCAUUUUAAUGACCAAGAGUUUCAUCCUCUUAUUUCAAAAUUUCCCUUGCUUGAGGAUCUCUCCAUAAUCUCCUUGGAAACCCUUGAAAGGAUAAUGAUCUCCAGUAAUCGGCUUAUGCAUUUGGAAGUUUACAACUGCAGUGGUUUGAACAGAAUCAAUGUUGAUGCACCUAAUUUGGUUUCCUUUGAUUUCGAGGAUAAUCCAAUUCCCAUUGUAUCAACAAAUGCUCCGUGUCCAUUGAAUGUACUCUUUUCGAAUUUUGGUGAUAUUGACACCCAUUGGUACCUUAAUUUAAUGGAAUUUAUUGGAGCAUUCAAUCAAAUUGGAGAGCUACACUUAUCUCUCAACUAUAAGCAGGUAUGUUUAUAUGUGCCAUAACUUCGAUUGUUAUAUUUUAUUAAUGCCAUUUUUUCUUUUCAUUAUCCUAUUUUUUUCCUUUUGCCUGUAUUUAUUUCUCAUGAUUUAUAUAGGUCUUAUUUAAUAUAGACGAGUUCAGAAGCUGCCACCCUUCACUCCCUCUUCAAGUUGAGAGUCUGUCCCUAUUUAUGGAAUCCUUCAGCCUUUAUAUGGAUGUGGUACCAUCGGAGUAUGAAAUUUUGUUGGAUGGCCUUUUUUGGAUUUUUUACCCUAAGAAUUUGUGUUUGUCUCCUGAGAACUGGCGCUAUCGCCCAUUUGUUAUGGUAUGUUUUGUUUUAGCAUUAGUUGUUAUACUUACUUGAGUGAAUCUUUAAUCCUCAUUUAUGUUGGAAUCCAGUACAAAGAAGAAAACAGUAGGAAUCCUAUAGUUGUAACAUGAUCUUUUCUCGGUAGUAUUUGGUUGGGGUAUGUGGAAAAGUAGGCUAAAAGUAAUUGUUUAUACAACAUCAUAGCUUAAGAUAAAAUACAAGCUCUGACUGGUCGAAACAAGUAUACGAACAAAAAUCAUGAAAGAAAAAUGCUCAGUUCUCAUUUUUGCUUUUUGAGGAGAACUGCCUGCAUUUUGUUGCUAGGUCAAGGAGGGAUUACUGCUAGUCAAUGAAACGACAAGUUUUAUCUGUUGUUGAUCAGUUUCAGAGGUUGUAAUCAUAUUUAAUGUUAACUGAAUCGUGUGAUGUUUGUGUGAAUUGCAGUGGUUUUAUGACCAUCUUCGGAAUAUAAGUACAAACUGUUGCAAUGGUCGUCAAAUCAAGUGUUGGCGGCAUUAUUUAAAGGGUAUUAACAUUGAGAGCUUCGAUCCCUUACAAGAAUCAAGUGAGGUUAAUUAUGCAGAUGUACCCUCUCGAGGAUAAUUCAGAUGAAUUGAUGGAUAGAUGGCCUCUGCUUCCCCAGGGAGAUUUGUGGCUGCGGCUUGAUUGGUGCUUUCCCGUACUUAAUGAGUAGUUGCGACAAGCCACAACGUUCUCGUGACUGAGGCAUUACCAUUGUGAAUCUGCGGUUGCUAAAGAUAGCUGUAUUAUAUUCUUUAAUAUACUAUAUAUAGAGAGAGUUAAGAAUGUGUGUUGUUCUCAUCUUUUAGUUUGGUGCAUGCUGCUAACAAGAGCUAGCACCAUCCAAAAGUUUCAAAUUCAAACAAACCUGAGCCAUCCAGAGAGGAAAUGCUUUUAUUUUUCAAACCUCAAGCUCAAUUUUAUUGUGAAGGGGUGAUUAGACUUUUUUUUUUCCUUUCCCCCUUUGCACUAAGGGGAACGCCUUGUCUGAGUAAAAAUGUUGAGAUUUUUCUUUGAUGAAAGAGUGUUCUCGGUUUGAUGAGAUUGUUCCUAUAUCGUCACUAUACAAUUAAU
rnacentral:lncRNA from 1 species